AUUGAACGCUGGCGGCAUGCUUUACACAUGCAAGUCGAACGGUAACAGGCCGCAAGGUGCUGACGAGUGGCGAACGGGUGAGUAAUGCAUCGGAACGUGCCCAGGCGUGGGGGAUAACUACUCGAAAGAGUAGCUAAUACCGCAUACGAUCUAUGGAUGAAAGCGGGGGACCGUAAGGCCUCGCGCGAUUGGAGCGGCCGAUGUCAGAUUAGGUAGUUGGUGGGGUAAAGGCUCACCAAGCCAACGAUCUGUAGCUGGUCUGAGAGGACAACCAGCCACACUGGGACUGAGACACGGCCCAGACUCCUACGGGAGGCAGCAGUGGGGAAUUUUGGACAAUGGGCGCAAGCCUGAUCCAGCAAUGCCGCGUGAAGGAAGAAGGCCUUCGGGUUGUAAACUGCUUUUGUACGGAACGAAACGGCUCUGGUUAAUACCCGGGGCUAAUGACGGUACCGGAAGAAUAAGCACCGGCUAACUACGUG
rnacentral:rRNA from 1 species